GAUGUGGUAAUAUUUUAAAUAUAUUCUUCAUUAGUUAAGGGUUUAAGUAUUUUCUUUACAAACCAAACUCUCAUAACCUACUUUUUUCUUGGAUGAGUCAAAUUUUGCUGGGUUAAUGCAUUAGUUAAAGAAUUCUUUGUUUCAUGCGAAUGUUAAAAGAAGAGAUACAUAUAUAGAUACAGAAAAAAAGGAAAGAGAUAAACAAUAAUUUAACGUGAUGAAAGAGAUAUGGAAUCCACAACUAAUUUUUGAAUAAGUUUCUAACUAAUUAUCAUUAAGUAAU
rnacentral:lncRNA from 1 species